CACAUUGUGUUGAAACACUAGUUCCUGUAUGAUUACCAAAGUUAAGCAACCUCGAGCCUGUUCAGUACCUAGAUAGGUGACCACUUGGGAAUACCACGUGC